CAGUCGCCGCGGGAAUACAGAGGGUGCAAGCGUUAAUCGGAAUUACUGGGCGUAAAGCGUGCGUAGGCGGCUUCUUAAGUCGGAUGUGAAAUCCCUGAGCUUAACUUAGGAAUUGCAUUCGAUACUGGGAAGCUAGAGUAUGGGAGAGGAUGGUAGAAUUCCAGGUGUAGCGGUGAAAUGCGUAGAGAUCUGGAGGAAUACCGAUGGCGAAGGCAGCCAUCUGGCCUAAUACUGACGCUGAGGUACGAAAGCAUGGGGAGCAAACAGGAUUAGAGACCCGAGUAGUCCCUGUCUCUUAUAA
rnacentral:rRNA from 1 species